AUGACGGCAAGUCGGCCACGACCGCGAGGGGGAUGGGGGCCUGACCGAGGACCGGUAGGUGCGGGGUCGAUGGCAUGGUUGGGGGUGCGCUCCAUGGCAGCGGCAGCCGUGAGAGGCGGGGUGAAACUUCAUAUGGCAGUUGGCCACACACGCACUGUGUUUUUUGAUUUGGGCACGACAACGCGUGAUCUAAAUUUGGAUCACCUUGGUCUUAUUUUUUGUGCACCACAACUUUAUAUGUUUAGAGCAUCUCCAACAGACACGCCAAAUAAAGCGCGCGUUGAAAAAGAUGCCUAUAUAGCCGCAAUAAAAAACAGCUCUCCAGCAGAAGCUGUAAAAUAA
rnacentral:rRNA from 1 species